UUUAUAGCUUGCUAUGAUGAAAAUUAGUGGCAGACGGGUGAGUAAUGCAUAGGAAUCUACCUAGUAGUAUGGGAUAGCCACUGGAAAUGGUGGGUAAUACUGUAUAAUCCCUGCGGGGGAAAGAUUUAUCGCUAUUAGAUGAGCCUAUGUUAGAUUAGCUAGUUGGUAGGGUAAAGGCCUACCAAGGCAGUGAUCUAUAGCUGGUCUGAGAGGAUGAUCAGCCACACUGGAACUGAGAUACGGUCCAGACUCCUACGGGAGGCAGCAGUGGGGAAUAUUGGACAAUGGGCGCAAGCCUGAUCCAGCUAUGCCGCGUGAGUGAGGAAGGCCUUAGGGUUGUAAAACUCUUUCAGUGGGGAAGAUAAUGACGGUACCCACAGAAGAAGUCCCGG
rnacentral:rRNA from 1 species